AACGCUGGCGGCGUGCCUAAUACAUGCAAGUCGAGCGAACGGACGAGAAGCUUGCUUCUCUGAUGUUAGCGGCGGACGGGUGAGUAACACGUGGAUAACCUACCUAUAAGACUGGGAUAACUUCGGGAAACCGGAGCUAAUACCGGAUAAUAUUUUGAACCGCAUGGUUCAAAAGUGAAAGACGGUCUUGCUGUCACUUAUAGAUGGAUCCGCGCUGCAUUAGCUAGUUGGUAAGGUAACGGCUUACCAAGGCAACGAUGCAUAGCCGACCUGAGAGGGUGAUCGGCCACACUGGAACUGAGACACGGUCCAGACUCCUACGGGAGGCAGCAGUAGGGAAUCUUCCGCAAUGGGCGAAAGCCUGACGGAGCAACGCCGCGUGAGUGAUGAAGGUCUUCGGAUCGUAAAACUCUGUUAUUAGGGAAGAACAUAUGUGUAAGUAACUGUGCACAUCUUGACGGUACCUAAUCAGAAGGCCACGGCUAACUACGUG
rnacentral:rRNA from 1 species